GAGUGGCGAACGGGUGAGUAACACGUGGGUGAUCUGCCCUGCACUUUGGGAUAAGCCUGGGAAACUGGGUCUAAUACCGAAUAUGACCGCGCUCUUCAUGGGGUGUGGUGGAAAGCUUUUGCGGUGUGGGAUGGGCCCGCGGCCUAUCAGCUUGUUGGUGGGGUAAUGGCCUACCAAGGCGACGACGGGUAGCCGGCCUGAGAGGGUGACCGGCCACACUGGGACUGAGAUACGGCCCAGACUCCUACGGGAGGCAGCAGUGGGGAAUAUUGCACAAUGGGCGCAAGCCUGAUGCAGCGACGCCGCGUGAGGGAUGACGGCCUUCGGGUUGUAAACCUCUUUCAAUAGGGACGAAGCGCAAGUGACGGUACCUAUAGAAGAAGGACCGGCCAACUACGUGCCAGCAGCCGCGGUAAUACGUAGGGUCCGAGCGUUGUCCGGAAUUACUGGGCGUAAAGAGCUCGUAGGUGGUUUGUCGCGUUGUUCGUGAAAACUCACAGCUUAACUGUGGGCGUGCGGGCGAUACGGGCAGACUAGAGUACUGCAGGGGAGACUGGAAUUCCU
rnacentral:rRNA from 1 species